UCUAAAAUGGCAGAUAGAUGUGUAGGAUUUAAGCUCCUAUUAGGAAGAAUUCUUCUUUUAGAA
rnacentral:tRNA from 1 species